rnacentral:misc_RNA from 1 species
GCUACUACCGAUUGAGUGAUCCGGUGAAUUAUUCGGACUGACGCAGUGCUCAGCUUCUGGACGUUGCGUUGGAAAGUUUCAUGAACCUUAUCACUUAGAGGAAGGAGAAGUCGUAACAAGGUUUCCGUAGGUGAACCUGCAGAAGGAUCAUUGAUCCUUCUGCAGGUUCACCUACGAAAACCUUGUUACGACUUUUACUUCCUCUAAAUGAUCAAGCUUGAACUUCUUCUCAGUCCCGGCACAUGCUUUCGCACGAGCUGGGCCCGAUCCGAGCAUCUCGCUAAACCAUUCAAUCGGUAGUAGCGACGGGCGGUGGUACAUCGCGG